AGAGUUUGAUCAUGGCUCAUAACGAACGUUGGCGGCGUGCUUAACACAUGCAAGUCGAACGAGAACGGUUCCUUCGGGAACUCAGUAAAGUGGCGCACGGGUGAGUAACGCGUAAGUAAUCUACCCUUGCAUUUGGAAUAACUACGGGAAGCUGUAGCUAAUACCAGAUACGUUCUCUUGUCUACGGACUUGAGAAGAAAGAUGGCCUAUUCUUGAAAGCUAUCGUGCAGGGAGGAGCUUGCGUACCAUUAGCUAGUUGGUAGGGUAAUGGCCUACCAAGGCAACGAUGGUUAGCGGGUCUGAGAGGAUGAUCCGCCACACUGGAACUGGAACACGGACCAGACUCCUACGGGAGGCAGCAGUGAGGAAUAUUGCGCAAUGGGGGAAACCCUGACGCAGCGACGCCGCGUGGAUGAUGAAGGCCUUAGGGUCGUAAAAUCCUGUCAGAUGGGAAGAAAUGCAUAUAGCCUAAUGCGUUAUGUGUUUGACGGUACCAUCAAAGGAAGCACCGGCUAA
rnacentral:rRNA from 1 species